CAUGCAAGUCGAACGCUUCUUUUUCCACCGGAGCUUGCUCCACCGGAAAAAGAGGAGUGGCGAACGGGUGAGUAAUACAUAAGCAAUCUGGCCAUGACAGGGGGAUAACUGACGGAAACGACAGCUAAAACCGCAUAGGUAUAAACGAAGCAUUUUGCUUAUAUUAAAAAUGCUAAGGCAUUGGUGAUGGAUGGGCUUAUGGAGCAUUAGCUAGUUGGUGAGGUAGAGGCUCACCAAGGCGACGAUGCAUAGCCGGCCUGAGAGGGUGAACGGCCACACUGGGACUGAGACACGGCCCAGACUCCUACGGGAGGCAGCAGUAGGGAAUUUUCGGCAAUGGGGGGAACCCUGACCGAGCAACGCCGCGUGAAGGAAGAAGGAAUUCGUUUCGUAAACUUCUGUUAUAAAGGAAGAAAGGGAUGUGUAGGGAAUGAUACAUCUAAGACGGUACUUUAUGAGGAAGCCACGGCUAACUACGUGCCAGCCGCCGCUGUAA
rnacentral:rRNA from 1 species